UUGUGGAUAUCAACUCAUUCAUUCAUUCAUUCAUCAACUUAACUCAUUCCAUUAUCCAGUUUCAACCCAUAUCGUCAAUUUUGUCUAGUAAUUUUCGUUUUUGUUUUCGUUUCUUUGAAAAAAAUUUUAUCUUCGUUUGCUUUUUCCAUUACUUUUUUUCGCUAUUUUUCUUUUAUUUAAACUCUGGUUUCUGGUUGAUAUUUAAAAAUUAGUUUUUAUCAAGUUAUCUUCUUAAGUUGAUCAUGAUGAAGCAAGGAUCUCUUUUAAAAUGGACUUCUUCCAAUGGUAAUAAAUGGUCCAAAAAUCACGGUAAACCAAACUGGAUUCAUCCACCCGACGCAUUGCAACGCGGUCAUGUUGCCUAUCUUGUCAAAUUUUUAGGUAAAACAGAAGUAGAUCAGCCAAAAGGCAUUGACGUUGUUAAAGAAGGAAUCCGUAAGAUGAAAUUUAGUCAACAUCUACGGCGAGCUGAAGGAACUAAAACACCCAAGGUUGAGUUGACCAUUUCUGUGGAUGGAGUUGCCAUUCAGACUCCCAAGAGUAAAAAAAUAUCCUUCCAAUAUCCUCUUCAUCGAAUCUCUUACUGUGCUGAUGAUAAAUCGGAUCCAAAGUUUUUCAGUUUCAUUGCUAAAGAAGCCGAAUCUGAUCGUCACAGUUGUUUUGUUUUUGUAUCUGACAAAUUAUCAGAGGAGAUAACGUUAACUAUUGGCCAAGCCUUUGAAUUGGCCUAUCGUAGGUUCCUUGAAACAUCUGGACGUGAUUUAGAGAUGCGUAAACAAAUAAUGGUGCUUCAUAAAAAAGUUCAGGAACUGGAAGCUGAAAACAGAAAAAAAAAUCGUUUAGCUAAUUAUAAAAAUAAGUCGAGAUCAUCAAUGAAAUCAUCUGGUUCUGGUUGUUCAUCCGUUUUAACAAAUGGCUCUGAGAUAAAUAAACUACAGCCACUUCAACCACCACCGCCUGUUCAAAGAAUAGCAAAUCGAAGUCAUCAUCAACAGGCAACCAUCAAUUUGUUAGAUAUUGAUGAUCAACCAACCGUUGGUCGUAAGCUAGAAAAUUUAAGCCUUGAUGAUCAAACAUUUGAUCCAAGGUCUUAUGAAGAAAUUAAAGUGAAUAGUACGACGACGUCAACAACAACAAAACCCUUAAUAGGCUCAUCUUUAACAUCAUCUUCAAUCAACUCAUCGAAUUCAUCUGUAUCUUCUUUAUCCUCAUCAUCAUCCCCGCCAUUAUCAAUUAGCACAACAUCAAAUCAACCACUAACAGUGUCAUCAUUAUCUGCAACAACAUCAGUACCACCGACAACAACAACAAAUUCAAAAAUGACAACGAUAAACAGUAACGGUCCAGUAAACAGUUACCCAGUUAACGGUCAUGUCAAUAACCUGGGUCAUACCAAUGGAACUGGUAUUGGUCAUAAUCAAGAUAAUACAACUAAUGAAGCUAAAGAUAUAUUUGGAUUUGAACCUUUUGAUCCGGAAGCCAAUAAAACCAAUGGUUCUGAUCCAUUUGGAAUGGGCUCUUUUGAGGCCAAACAAUUAGAACAAGCGAUUGGCGAUAUUGACAAGAAACUUGCUGAAAUGAGAGUAAGUUUGACCCAAAAUUUGUUCAUUUUUCACUCUCCUUCAUUGCCAUCAUCAUCUUCUGAAAUUUACUCUUUGGCAUGACUUGUGAAUAUCAACCUCAAGCCGAUCAACAACUCAGUUAUCAUAUCAAAAAUGAUCAAUUCAACUUUUGAACCGAUCUAACCAAAAAUGCAAAUCCUUGUUACCAUCUAAUAACCAAUCCCUGUGAUAACCCUCUAGUCACCUUUUACGCCAUUUUAUGUCUAAAUCUUAAGGUUUUUGUUUCUCACCUCAAUCCAACCAUUUACAUGAUUAAUCAACUUGCAUCGACACUGCACUCGAUCUCAUUGUUAACCAUUUUCACAUUUUUGUGUUCAACUUUACCCUGAAACAUUAAACCUCACCUCAACACUGUCCAUCUAAAGUUACACCAAUGGGUUGUUUAACAUCAAAAAAUGAACAACAACAAGCACAACCUGAACCAGCCAAUUACUCAUGGAAUAACCGGGAAAAUAUUGAUCCUUGUGAAUAUACAAUUGAAAAUGUAAACAGUUCAACUGUCAUUAAAAAAACCUGGCUCAGUAAAUGGGAAACAGUUUAUUGUCCAAAAUUGUCAAAAGUCAAUCCUAUGCAUUUUUGAUUACCUUGAUUCAGCAACAGUUGAUGACUGUGUUGACUGUACCAUCUUUAUUGGACCCACAAAGGGAAGCAUAUUCCUUCGAAAUUGUUCAAAUUGUCGAAUAAUUUGUGCCAGUCAACAAUUUCGUGCUCGUGAUUGUAAAUCUCUCUACCUAUUCUUACAUUGUCUUACUAAGCCAACCAUUGAAGCCUGUGAAAACAUUCAAGUUGCCUGUUAUUCAUUCUUUUAUUCACAACUUUCAGAUCAAUUUAAAUUAGCGGGUUUAACAGUUUUCAACAAUUCAUGGAGUCAAGUUUAUGAUUUUGGUGGAGCUGAAGGAACCCAAAAUUGGUCUCUUCUUGAUCCAGAUAUUCAGCCUGAAGAAGUUUUUGAAUGUUUACUUAAUAUUAAGGAACCUGAAAUCUCGUUGGAUACAGUUUGAGUGUGGUUCCACGAACUUUGGGAGUUCGAACUGAUCAAUCGAUUGAAACUGGUUUGGUGAUAUUUUUCCCUGAUGGCAAUCGCGAGAAAAGAGCCAAAGCCUAUAUUCGGGAAAUGGCUGAAAAAUCUUAUUUUGAUUUACUUACUCAAUUUCAGUGUUCCUUGGUUGCAACGAAAGAGUUUAUGAUGAAGGAGGUUGAGGCCAUGCAAAUAUUUAAAACCGAUUCAUAUAAUUCCAUUGUUGGCCGUGGUCCAGUUAUCGCAAUACAACAUCUUGGUCCCGAUUGUAUUAAGAAAAGCCAUCAAGCAGCUAAAACAAUUGCUCUGGAAACUGGAUCAACUGGACUUGUUUACGUUCCAUCUAAUCCAGAGAUUGCAAUGGAACAGAUUAAGCUUAUCUUCAACUCGAUUGACCUUCCACAGGAAAAAUUUAGCUCACCAACAAUAGCUAACAAAGAAAUAACCGAGUCAAUAGAAUGAAAUCUUUGAUGGAAAAUUGUUCUUUUGUAAAUUGUAAGGUUAAAUUAGAGCAGCAGCAAUUAGUAUAAAAAGCUUUGUUGACUAAAACAAUCCUUUUGUACCAAUACUAAUACUCAUCAUCAUUUUCAUCUAAAGUAAUCAACAUUCAUACAUAAAAAUUGAAAAUAAGCCUAAAACCAGUUCUCAAUUCUGACCCAACUUAUCAAAUUCACUCAGAAUUAACAAUGUUUUUAUGCUGAACAGUUAUAAAAGCCAUUUUUAAAUUGUUUAAAACAGUUUUUGAGCGUGAAAGAAACGCGAUUUUUAAACUUGAGACUUUUCAAGCCUAUCUUAUGACUAACUGUGUAAGUUGAGAAUCAAUUAUUCAAACCUCUUUGCAUUACCAUUAUCUUUGUACCAUUAGACUUUUCACCGUAUAAAGAGCUUCAUUUUUGACUUUAAA